CCGUGCCUCAUCUGUUCUUCCGCCUUCUCCACAACCUCCACACCACUCACGCGGCGUCUCCGAUCCCUCUGGCGUUUUUGUUUCUGCGUUGAGGAAUCGCGCCUGAAGGAGGAGGCUGAGGUGCUGAGUGUAAUCCUUGGUGUGCAUGCGCCUUCUCCGUCGCACAGCACCCACAGACAUGCGGAGGAAAAAAGGAAUUCACCCAAAAGCGUUAUUGAUUCUUCUCUUUCUUAUCUCUCUGGUUUCGCUUGCUUUUCCAUCUUUUUUUUUAUUCCGUCCCGGCUGAUCUCUUCUCCCUCCUUUUCGAGGGCGCUUUGACGCCUGGAUGACAGGGGGGGACACACACCUGUGUGCGCGGUACCGCAGGGUCCAGUACACCCCCCACUCUGCGUGGGGAAGCCAAGCAGCCUCUCCCUAUCCCCUGCCAAUGCCGAGCCACCUCUGGUGGUGACAGGGCCAAGUGCCUACGACGUGAGGGGGAGGCCAGAGUGGUUUGCCGCUACGGAUGUCGGCGGUCAGGUCCUGGUCGACGUGACGGCAGAGAGACUUGCCACAGCGAAUACUCUUGUGCUAUCCGUGUGAUGGGCGAAGUGUCAGCGCGACUCGUACGUAUCCCACCCCCGGGCCUCGCACUGCCCCACUGGUGUGGGGCGCCGGAGUGCGGGACCGCGAGGAGAUGCACUGGGUGGCGACCAGCACAAGGGUAGCUGCUGUGAGGCGACCUGCGAUGCGGGGAGGGGGGGGGCGAGUAGAGUUUUGCGUAGGGGCGGUGCUGGGAUGACGGAGUCGGCGCAUUGCUGUAACACGUGUGCCUAGCGCUGCCUCGCCCCACGCGGAUGGGGUUCGCGGCAGGCCCGGUGGGUAGAGCGGAGUUUGGAUUCAUGCUGUACGGCAGAGAAUGAUGGACACGUUGCGGAACCAAAAAGAAAAGCCUUCGUGUGUAUCACUUCUUAUCUUGGUUUGCGUUCUGUACGUCUUUUUGGUACUGUCUGCUGAAUGGCGGUGCCCACUCGUGCCUCCGACGCCCCACCUGGGCUUCCGAGCAGUUGUGCCGCCGAUCACGACUUUGCGUGCGCAUCAAACCCCAUCCCACCGCCUGUUUUUGUCCUCCGCCUACCACCGCAG
rnacentral:misc_RNA from 1 species